CCCAGGAGAACCGGCAGAGGAGACACAAGCAGAAAACUAAACGGGCCAGAUGUGGCGCUGACUAAGCGGGCUCCAGCCCGCUGCAAGACGCGCUGAGCAGGAAGGCCCACAGCCGCCCAGGCGCUGCGACGCCAGCCAGAGCUAAAACACAUGGGCGCCAGAUAAGCUGAUGACGAUAAUACGCCACGCCAGCGCCUGGAAAGAAACGCCGCCCAAAAGGAAACCUAGGGGGCCUGCACAGGUGAUGCAAGCGUCAGCCGCAAGUUCAACUUCGGUGACCCACCCUGAACCUCCUCCACUUCACAAAGCGCGCCACCCGCCGACCAGAUGGCAACAAAGUGCUCCAGCUUAGCCGCCUUGAGCUGUGCGGUGAGAAGCUGAGUGGGCAGAGCCGACAGGGUUUCAGGGGUUAGCGUGGCGGCAGUGAAACGCAGCUGCAUCACCCUGCGCAGCUCGCUGACCACCUCCCGAACCACAUGCUCCGACGUCUGCUUAGCAGGCUCGCGGGACCAGUACGCACACCAGACGGCGUACAAGAAGGUGGCCCGCAAAGUGCUCCACAGCAGCGCGCCCGCCCCCCGCGGGCCUGAGGCCCACAUACCCAUGCGGUCCCCCAGCAUGAAGCCCACGUCCGUCACUGGCGGCGCCGCUGCCUGGGGCGCAACGCAGGCCCACAGCUGCUGCAGCCACGUCCUCGCCUGCGCAUAAGCUGGACACUCCAGGAAGAUGUGCGUUAGGCUGGCCCACGCCCGCGGGCCAGGUGGCCCGCAGGCGGGGUGAGGACAGUGCGCCCCCAACCCCCCGCACCCCGUGGUCACCCGUGGCCGAAUGCCCUUGCCCGCCCUGUACAGCCCGCAAGGCAGGUAAGCAUGUUGCAGCCGGUACACCAGCACCUUUGCCCCCCGACUGGCGUGGCUGUCCCACAGCCUCCGCCACGUACCCCGCAGAAGGGACGCAUCCGGGGGCGGCAUGCGAGGGUCGCCCUCCACCGCCGCCGCUGCUGCCGCCGCCGCCGUGGCAGGCCCAGUGCUAGGUCCCGCCCCUCCCGCCGCCUGCUCCUGCAGCCGCGCGGACCGCCGCGGCCCCUCACCCGACUGCUGGGACGGGGACGCAUACGACUGCAGUUCUCUCGCCGGCGUGUUCUGCAGCCCGGCUGCCGCAGAGGUGCGGUGAAGCCAGGGGUCCAGAGCCACCGGGUUAUUGUGGAAAUGCUGCGCCGCCGUGGUGGUCAGCUGCGCCGCUGCACGCUGCCACUCCGCCUCCCGCUCCGCCAGCCGCGACUGUGCCGCCGGCUGGGGCCCCGAAUCCCCCGCCUGCUGUGUUGGCGCCGGGCACGGCAUGGCUGCGGGGCGGGCCGGAGCCGGAGGUGCGGCCGGGUUGGCCGCGGUGAUGGCCCGCCGCACGUCCCGCACCGUGUAGUCCGCCAAGCUGACACCCGCAAUCCGGCAGUGCUCCGGGUGCACCACCACCCCAGCCUCCGGCGCCAGGAAGUACGGCGCCCGAGGCCACGCCCCCGCCCGGUCCCCUGGUGAUGCGGCAUCGUACGCCGCCCGCUCUUCAAAGGUCCACAGGUGCCGCGGCUUGCGAUGCUGCAGCACACAGGCAGGCUGCCACGCCCCAUCCACCGCCGGGGGCAGCACGCCAGGCCCAGGCUCCAAGAGCCGCCCCGUGUAGUGGACGUAGGACACAGCCCCCGCAGCGUUAGCCACCCACAGCUGGUCCAGGCUAACCCGCCACUGUGGCGGCGCCGCUGGCGGCUGAGUGGCUGGCUGCGGCGGAUGCUGUUCCACGCCCGCGCUCCGCACGUGGCCGACCGCGGCCGCCAGCCGGGCAGGCAGCCCCGCUGGCGUCGGCGCGUCGCUGUACACCCACGCCCACGUGGUGGCGGAGUCCGGGCGCACAUGAGUAAGCAGCGCCCGGGUGAGCGUCUUCCAGGGUUGCCGGCCUGGCUGGGCAAGCAGGGCGAAGGUCUUAGCUUGCAGGGCAGACAGGAACGCAGGCAGGUCGACGUGGUUGACACCCCCAUCCUUGUACGGCAGACAGGCCGUUUCCCGCUUUGGCAGCAGGAGCGGGUUCCCGUGCGACACCAGGCUGGCGUCCUCAGCGUGCAUGGAGCGCGCAGCAAAGUGUUCCACCAGGUCGGUGAGUUCCUUCAGCUGCGCAGGCGACGGGUUGAGGAAGCUGAAGUGGUAGGCCAGCUUCGCCGCCAGCACCUGCUUCGCAAUGUGCACACGGCCAACCAGAGUCAGAGACAGGGCAGCCCACAGACGCGCCACAAACGCCAUGCCGCGAGCCCGCCGGGUGUACAAGUCAGCUGCAGCCGCGUCCGAGUCCCACGACAGGGGCACACCCAGGUGCGUCACGGCGCCAGUGGUAAACGGCACCCCCGUGUGUGGGCAAGGGCCCGUCAGGUGCGCAAACCUGCCAAGGCCCAUGGCCUUGCUCUUGUCCGGAUGGACACGGGCGUUGGACGCGCGGCAGAACAGCUGUACCGCCGCCAUCAGGACCGGCCCGUCCACCGCCGGGUCGCGCGCCGUGAGGGUCGUGUCGUCAGCGUGGUGGGCAGCCGGUGGCGCCUGCUCGCCGCUGGGUAACAGGGGCGUGCGCAGUGCCCCUUGCUCCACCUGCCGCCGCAGAUAGGACGUCAGUGGCUGCAUCUGGAUGACCCACAGGGGUGGUGAGGCGGUGCUGCCCUGCGGCAAGCCGUUCAGCACUGGGAAGGCGUCAGAGAGCAUCCCGUUCACACACACGCGGGCAGAGCCGUUGGCAGUGAUCAGGCGGAUCCAGCGCAGCAUGCGCGGCCCAAACCCCGCUUGUCCGCCACGGCCGUGGGCGCAUACACACACACGAAACGCAGGCGCAGGUGACCCACAUCCCAAUCCCAACAUACCACACGGCCCGCCGCAUCCGUUGACGGCGGCUGCAGUACGCAGCCUGGAAGGGACAGCCGACUCCGCGCCAGGAUAGCCGUCCCACAGGAGCGGGGCGACGCUGCCGGGCUGGCAGCAAGGCAGUGGCGCCACGGAAGGCAUGCCCCCUGCGCGGCACGAAGGCAAGACUCCAGCACCGUCGUGUCAGUAGCGUGGGUCUCCUGCACCAUCGCCACUUCCGCCCCAACUUGCUGUAGGUGCGAGACCAGCGCCCGCGCCUUGAACGGCGAGCCCAGGCCGUUGACAUUCACUGUCAGCAGCCGAAGGUUCGCCGCUCCCACUGGUGGCCGCAUUAUGAGCCCCCGCCGGCCACGGCAGCGCCGUGGAGGGUGCGGGUGCUGUUGCUGCUGUGGCGUUUGCCGCGGCGGCCGCCACCCUGGCUGGGGGGCGCGCCGCCGCUGCUGGUGCUCAUGCUAGCGGCACCUGAGCUGGCGCCGCCGGGGUGCAAUGGAGCGCUGCCCAGGCUCAUGAGGCUGGAGGUACUGCGGCUGCGGUGCUGGCGUUGCCGGCGGCUGGGCCCGCUGGCCCCGCCGGGGUCCGCCGGCCCACGCUUAGCGGACCGCAGGGUGCGGGCGUCUAGGAGCACGUUGCGCCCCAGGCAGCGGCGCCGCCAGUGACGGACGCGGGCUUCAUGCUGGGGGACCGCAUGGGUAUGUGGGCCUCAGGCCCGCGGGGGGCGGGAGCACUGCUGUGGAGCACUUUGCGGGCCACCUUCUUGUACGCCGUCUGGUGUGCGUACUGGUCCCGCGAGCCUGCUAAGCAGACGUCGGAGCAUGUGGUUCGGGAGGUGGUCAGCGAGCUGCGCAGGGUGAUGCGCCUGCGUUUCACUGCCGCCACGCUAACCCCUGAAACCCUGUCGGCUCUGCCCACUCAGCUUCUCACCGCACAGCUCAAGGCGGCUAAACUGGAGCAUUUUGUUGCCAUCUGGACGGCAGGUGGCGCGCUUUGUGAAGUGGAGGAGGUUCAGGGUGGGUCACCGAAGUUGAACUUGCGGCUGACGCUUGCAUCACCUGUGCAGGCCCCCUAGAUUUCCUUCUGGGCAGCAUUUCUUUCCAGGCGCUGGCGUGGCGUAUUAUCGUCAUCAGCUUGUCUGGCGCCCAUGAGUACUAGCUCUGGCUGGAGUGGCAGCGCCUGGGCGGCUGUGGGCCUUCCUGCACAGCGCGUCUUGCAGCGGGCUGGAGCCCGAUUAGUCAGCGCCACAUCUGGCCCGUUUAGUUUUCUGCUUGUGUCUCCUUUGCCGGGUUCUACUGGGGUGUUGCUUACGCAACCGACUUGUGGGGGUGGGGUGGGUUUGGGCGGGGCGAGUGCGUAGCGCUGGUGUUUUCUUUGCUGGCGCGCGGUGGUGGUGGUUCUUGCGGUUAGGCUGUGGUGUAGGUUGGUGCUUGGGUUAGGUCUGGCGGUGUUUUUGUGCAACCCCUCCCGGGGGGCGGGGGGGCCAGCCUCCUGCUCUGUCUGCCGGGUCGGGGUGGGGUGGGGUGGGAUGGAUGGGGGUGGUUGGUGGCGGUUUUCGAGGUGUUUGCUUCCUUUUUUUUGAGGGAUCAUCCUUACAUUCCUGUUUUCUUCUCUUUUCUUCUCUUCUUGCCCUGUCAGGGUUCUGGUCUCGGGGACCAGGCUGCUUUCAGGCAGCAGGGGGGCAGCGCGUCUGCCCCUGGUCAACCUUGUACGGAUGAUUCCUCAAAAAAAGAAACGUAGUCCAUGUAGGCCGUCUGCACCUGCUGCGCGGCGUCAUCCAGCUGCUCCGUCACGUCGGAAGGCAGGGGCGUGUCUGCAGGCUGGGCUGAGUAUAGGCGCCACCAGCCAGUGAACUCGUCGUGCAGCUGUGCCAGGACGGCGAUACGGCCGGCCGGCACGCGGCAGACGGCCCAGUCCGGUAUGGUGGCGCCCUGGUCACGGAGGUAGGCGAGGAGGCGGCCACCAAGCGUGUCGUGGCCCAGCUGCGCCCACUCAAACCCCUGCACAUCUGCACAGCGGUUCUGGUGCGUCACGAGGUCAGAGCCGAUGGCAACACACGUGUCCCGGGUCAGGCAAACGGCCCCGUACUCUGCCUCACUGCCCGCACCCCCACCAGCGCGCCCAGCCGUGUCGGCCGAACCCCCAGCCGGCGCGCCCAGGCCCCUGUCCCUGCCCUUACCACCACCCGCCGGUUGUGAAGUUUGCAGUGGCGGCCGUGCCUGGGGUAGCGGCUGGGGCACUGCCCGCCCCACUCCUCCACCCUGGCGCCCCAACCCGCUGCCCCCACCAGCCUGCUUUCCCCCGGCCGGCCGCCCAGUGGGCACGCGCGGCGGCGAGCUAGCACCGUCCUGCGGGGGAGGCAGCCCGCCGCCCAAGCGCCCUGCCCUCUGCUGCGGGAGCUGGGCGGGGCCACAGCGCCCUUUGGGGCGGGGCUGGUGCUGCAGCGGUGGCGGCGGUGCGUGCGCGGCUGGUUGCACCCGUCGCCCACGCCCGGGCGCCGCCGUGGCAGCGCCAUCGCCCGCCCCGUCCUGUCCCCCCAGCGUGGCCAGGACCUCAAACCGGGAGCCGGUCCGGGGCCUGGGCGGCUGCACCUGGCGCUGCUGCUCCUGCUGCUGCUGUUGCUGUACCCGCCGUUGCUGCUGGAGAUGGAGGUCCGCCAUGUAGGCCAAGUACCGCUGCAUCACAGCGGUCUGCUCCUGAGCCUGCCUGGCGGCCGCCCGCUGAUCAAAGGGCGGCUGUGGCACGGGAGCCCCACUGGGCUGCUGCUGCGCGCCAGCCGACCCAGCACAGGCAGUACGACGCCUGACCGCCGGUGGCCCCCCCAUGCCUGCAGACGGCUGCCCCCCGCUAAGCCCUCCCGCUGCCACCCGCUGCUGUGAAGAGGGCUGCUGCUGUCGCUCGGCCCUUAGGGGAGCCGCAGCAGCACGGGUGCUUCCCCCCGCCACCAGAUGUGGCAGCGAGGGUGAGGCCACGGCGGGUGGUCCGCUGGCCCCACCAGCGGCAGCCGCUGCUUCCCCCCGCCACCAGAUUUUUGUUUGAGGAAUCAUCCUUACAAGGUUGAACAGGGGCAGACGCGCUGCCCCCCUGCUGCCUGAAAACAGCCUGGUCCCCGAGACCAGAACCCUGACAGGGCAAGAAGAGAAGAAAAGAGAAGAAGACAGAAAGCAAACACCUCGAAAGCGCCACCAACCACCCCCAUCCAUCCCACCCCACCCCACCCCACCCCGACCCGGCAGACAGAGCAGGAGGCUGGCCCCCCCGCCCCCCGGGAGGGGUUGCAACAAAACACCGCCAGACCUAACCCAAGCACCAACCUUUACCACAGCCUAGCCGCAAGAACCACCACCACCGCGCGCAAGAAAAAGAAACACCAGCGCUACGCACUCGCCCCGCCCAAACCCACCCCACCCCCACAAGUCGGUUGCUUAAGCAACACCCCAGUAGAACCGGCAGAGGAGACACAAGCAGAAGACUAAACGGGCCAGAUGUGGCGCUGAGUAAGCGGGCUCCAGCCCGCUGCAAGACGCGCUGUGCAGGAAGGCCCACAGCCGCCCAGGCGCUGUGACGCCAGCCAGAGCUAAAACACAUGGGCGCCAGAUAAGCUGAUGAUGAUAGUACACCACGCCAGCGCCUGGAAAGAAACGCCGCCCAAAAGGAAACCUAGGGGGCCUGCACAGGUGAUGCAAGCGUCAGCCGCAAGUUCAACUUCGGUGACCCACCCUGAACCGCCUCCACUUCACAAAGCGCGCCACCCGCCGUCCAGAUGGCAACAAAGUGCUCCAGCUUAGCCGCCUUGAGCUGCGCGGUGAGAAGCUGUGUGGGCAGAGCCGACAGGGUUUCAGGGGUUAGCGUGGCGGCAGUGAAACGCAGCUGCAUCACCCUGCGCAGCUCGCUGACCACCUCCCGAACCACAUGCUCCGAUGUCUGCUUAGCAGGCUCGCGGGACCAGUAUGCACACCAGACGGCGUACAAGAAGGUGGCCCGCAAAGUGCUCCACAGCAGCGCGCCCGCCCCCCGCGAGCCUGAGGCCCACAUACCCAUGCGGUCCCCCAGCAUGAAACCCGCGUCCGUCACUCACCAGAUGUGGCAGCGAGGGUGAGGCCACGGCGGGUGGUCCGCUGGCGCCACCAGCGGCAGCCCCUGCGUCACCCACACCCGCCGCCUCCUGCAUCUGCACGUCCCCCACGUGGUCAACUAUGUCAACACGUUGCCCACGCCGUGACGCCGCCACGCCAGGGCCACCGCCCGCCCCGUCCUGCCCCCCGAGCGUGGCCAGGACCACAACCUGGGAGCCGGUCCGGGGCCUGGGCGACUGCCCCUGGCGCUGCAGCUGCUGCUGCUGCUGCUGUUGCUGUUGCUGUAACCGCCGUUGCCGCUGGAGAGGUCCGCCAGCUCGGCCAAGUAUCGCUGCAUCACAGCGGUCUGCUCCUGAUCCUGCCCAGCGGCUGCCUGCUGAUCCAAGGGCGGCCGUGGCGCGGGAGCGCCACUGUGCUGCUGCUGCACGCCAGUCGGCCCAGCACCGGCAGGGCGAGGCCUGGCCGCCGGCGGCCCCCCCACGCCUGCCGCCGGCUGGACCCUGCUAAGCCCUCCCGCUGUCACCCGCUGCUGUGAAGAGGGCUGCUGCUGCAGCGCGGCCCGCAGGGCAGCCGCAGCAGAACGGUUGCUUCCCCCCGCCACCAGAACUGGCAGCGGGGGCGGGGCCCCGCUGUGUGGCCCGCUGGCGCCACCAGCUGCAGCCGCCACGUCACCCAAACCCGCCGCCUCCUGCAUCUGCACGUCCCCCACGUGGUCAACGAUGUCCGCUGCGGUCGCCAUGGCAGCCGCAGGCCUCGCCACACCCAAGGUGUUGCCACCCAGGUCGGCGACCCUGGCUGCAGCCGGAGCAGGGCUGCCUGCCGCAGCUGUCGUGGCCGCCCCAGCCGCCUGGGGGGCGCCACGGACCUCCACCUGCAUGGGCUCCUCACCGGGCAUCUCAAACUUGGCACAGUGCAGGUGAGAGAGCUGCGGGUCCCAGACUGGGCCCCGCACAAAAAAGGCAAAGAUGUGGUUGGUGAUGCCCUGGCCUGCGGGGGCCUGGGGCUCCCCCUUGGGGCCCACCGAUUUGGCGCACUGCUCUGAGACCACAAAAGCACACGCCAGGUUAGAGGGGUCUGAGGUGGUGGGAUAGCCACCUGCCUGCAGCACCAAAUCGGUGCGACCGCGGAAAGCCCCCCCCCCACACAGGGCCCCCUACCAUCUUGACCGUGACGGUGUAGGUUUUUUUUUUGAGGAAUCAUCCUUACAAGGUUGAACAGGGGCAGACGCGCUGCCCCCCUGCUGCCUGAAAGCAGCCUGGUCCCCGAGACCAGAACCCUGACAGGGCAAGAAGAGAAGAAAAGAGAAGAAAAACAGAAAACAAACACCUCGAAAAACCGCCACCAACCACCCAUCCAUCCCACCCCACCCCACCCCGACCCGGCAGACAGAGCAGGAGGCUGGCCCCCCCGCCCCCCGGGAGGGGUUGCACAAAAACACCGCCAGACCUAACCCAAGCACCAACCGACACCACAGCCUAACCGCAAGAACCACCACCACCGCGCGCCAGAAAGGAAAACACCAGUGCUACCAACACUCGACCCGCCGUAACCCACCCCACCCCCACAAGUCGGUUGCUUGAGCAACACCCCAGGAGAACUGGCAGAGGAGACACAAGCAGAAAACUAAACGGGCCAGAUGUGGCGCUGACUAAUCGGGCUCCAGCCCGCUGCAAGACGCGCUGUGCAGGAAGGCCCACAGCCGCCCAGGCGCUGCGACGCCAGCCAGAGCUAUGACACAUGGGGCGCCAGAUAAGCUGAUGACGAUAAUACGCCACGCCAGCGCCUGGAAAGAAACGCCGCCCAAAAGGAAACCUAGGGGGCCUGCACAGGGGAUGCAAGCGUCAGCCGCAAGUGCAACUUCGGUGACCCACCCUGAACCUCCUCCACUUCACAAAGCGCGCCACCCGCCGUCCAGAUGGCAACAAAGUGCUCCAGCUUAGCCGCCUUGAGCUGUGCGGUGAGAAGCUGAGUGGGCAGAGCCGACAGGGUUUCAGGGGUUAGCGUGGCGGCAGUGAAACGCAGCUGCAUCACCCUGCGCAGCUCGCUGACCACCUCCCGAACCACAUGCUCCGACGUCUGCUUAGCAGGCUCGCGGGACCAGUACGCACACCAGACGGCGUACAAGAAGGUGGCCCGCAAAGUGCUCCACAGCAGCGCGCCCGCCCCCCGCGGGCCUGAGGCCCACAUACCCAUGCGGUCCCCCAGCAUGAAGCCCGCGUCCGUCACUGGCGGCGCCGCUGCCUGGGGCGCAACGCAGGCCCACAGCUGCUGCAGCCACGUCCUCGCCUGCGCAUAAGCUGGACACUCCAGGAAGAUGUGCGUCAGGCUGGCCCACGCCCGCGGGCCAGGUGGCCCGCAGGCGGGGCGAGGACAGUGCGCCCCCAAUCCCCCGCACCCCGUGGUCACCCGUGGACGAAUGCCCUUGCCCGCCCUGUACAGCCCACAAGGCAGGUAAGCAUGUUGCAGCCGGUACACCAGCACCUUUGCCCCCCGACAAGCGUGGCUGUCCCACAGCCUCCGCCACGUACCCCGCAGAAGGGACGCAUCCGGGGGCGGCAUGCGAGGGUCGCCCUCCACCGCCGCCGCUGCUGCCGCCGCCGCCGUGGCAGGCCCCGUGCUAGGCCCCGCCCCGCCCGCCGCCUGCUCCUGCAGCCGCGCGGAACGCCGCGGCCCCUCACCCGACUGCUGGGACGGGGACGCAUACGACUGCAGUGUUCUCGCCGGCGUGUUCUGCUGCCCGGCUGCCGCGGAGGUGCGGUGGAGCCAGGGGUCCAGAGCCACCGGGUUAUUGUGGAAGUGCUGCGCCGCCGUGGUGGUCAGCUGCGCCGCUGCACGCUGCCACUCCGCCUCCCGCUCCGCCAGCCGCGACUGUGCCGCCGGCUGGGUCCCCGAACCCCCCGCCUGCUGUGCUGGCGCCGGGCACGGCAUGGCUGCGGGGCGGGCCGGAGCCAGAGGGGCGGCCGGGUUGGCCGCGGUGAUGGCCCGCCGCACGUCCCGCACCGUGUAGUCCGCCAAGCUGACACCCGCAAUCCGGCAGUGCUCCGGGUGCACCACCACCCCAGCCUCCGGCGCCAGGAAGUACGGCGCCCGAGGCCACGCCCCUGCCCGUUCCCCUGGUGAUGCUGCAUCGUACGCCGCCCGCUCUUCAAAGGUCCACAGGUGCCGCGGCUUGCGGUGCUGCAGCACACAGGCAGGCUGCCACGCCCCAUCCACUGCCGGGGGCAGCACGCCAGGCCCAGGCUCCAAGAGCCGCCCCGUGUAGUGGACGUAGGACACAGCCCCCGCAGCGUUAGCCACCCACAGCUGGUCCAGGCUAACCCGCCACUGUGGCGGCGCCGCUGGCGGCUGAGUGGCUGGCUGCGGCGGAUGCUGUUCCACGCCCGCGCUCCGCACGUGGCCGACCGCGGCCGCCAGCCGGGCAGGCAGCCCCGCUGGCGCCGGCGCGUCGCUGUACACCCACGCCCACGUGGUGGCGGAGUCCGGGCGCACAUGAGUAAGCAGCGCCCGGGUGAGCGUCUUCCAGGGUUGCCGGCCUGGCUGGGCAAGCAGGGCGAAAGUCUUAGCUUGCAGGGCAGACAGGAACGCAGGCAGGUCGACAUGGUUGACACCCCCAUCCUUGUACGGCAGACAGGCCGUCUCCCGCUUUGGCAGCAGGAGCGGGUUCCCGUGCGACACCAGGCUGGCAUCCUCAGCGUGCACGGAGCGCGCAGCAAAGUGGUCCACCAGGUCGGUGAGUUCCUUCAGCUGCGCAGGCGAUGGGUUGAGGAAGCUGAAGUGGUAGGCCAGCUUCGCCGCCAGCACCUGCUUCGCAAUGUGCACACGGCCAACCAGGGUCAGAGACAGGGCAGCCCACAGACGCGCCACAAACGCCAUGCCGCGAGCCCGCCGGGUGUACAGGUCAGCUGCAGCCGCAUCAGAGUCCCACGACAGAGGCACACCCAGGUGCGUCACGGCGCCAGUGGUAAACGGCACCCCCGUGUGUGGGCAAGGGCCCGUCAGGUGCGCAAACCUGCCAAGGCCCAUGGCCUUGCUCUUGUCCGGAUGGACACGGGCGUUGGACGCGCGGCAGAACAGCUGUACUGCCGCCAUCAGGACCGGCCCGUCCACCGCCGGGUCGCGCGCCGUGAGGGUCGUGUCGUCAGCGUGGUGGGCAGCAGGCGGCGCCUGCUCGCCGCUGGGUAACAGGGGCGUGCGCAGUGCCCCUUGCUCCACCUGCCGCCGCAGAAAGGACGUCAGUGGCUGCAUCUGGAUGACCCACAGGGGUGGUGAGGCGGUGCUGCCCUGCGGCAAGCCGUUCAGCACUGGGAAGGCGUCAGAGAGCAUCCCGUUCACACACACGCGGGCAGAGCCGUUGGCAGUGAUCAGGCGGAUCCAGCGCAGCAUGCGCGGCCCAAACCCCAGACCCUCCGCGGACGCAUACAGCCACUGCCGGUGCACCCGGUCAUACGCCUUUUCAAUGUCCAAGAAGUACAGCGCACCACCCUGCCGUGGCGUGCCGUCCGCGCCCACGUCCAGGCGCAUCCAUUCGACCAGGCCUUGGAGGUACAGCGCGUUGUCUCCAAUCCAGCGGCCGGUGAUGAACGCGGUCUGCAGCUCAUCCACAACUGCAUCCAGGGCAGGCUGCAGGCGGGCGCUGACGGCCUUGGACACCAUCUUGAAGUCGCAGUUGAGCAGCGUGAUGGGCCGGUACGACGCCAGCUCGGCGCGGUCCAGGCUUUUGCCCUUGUAGAUGAGCGUGAUGAUGCCCUCCCGCCAGGAGGCAGGCAGCGCCGCCGCCAUUUCGCCGCCAUCGUGGGCGUCAUUGGCGGAGCCCGGAAUGAUGGGCCGGGUGUCCACUGGCACGUGAACCGUGAGGACAGCCUGACCGCGCUGGAGCGGUACCGCCAGCGGCGACUUGCGCAGGAGCUCCGCUGUGAAGGCUGCUUUGCUGGCGCUGGUCGCGCGCCGGCUGAAGGCCAGCCCCGCAAACGUGCGGGAGGGGUGGCCUGUGCUGUGCAGAGAGUGGCCCUGCAAGAGCUGCGGCUGGGUGCCCUGCCGGCACAUGGUGUCCAGCACUGACAGGGCAGCACUGGUCACUUCCCGGACGCCGGCUGAGGACAGCUGCUCGCCCUCUGGGAGCCCCGUGGUGGCACCCACCAGAAGGACUGGGUAAGUAGGCAGGCUGGGGCCCUGAGGCUGCGUCGUCAGGUCCUGCACGCCGUGCGCCAGGCUAUGCGUGGACAGGGCAAGGUGGAGCUGCAGCCCGGGGCUGAAGAACGGGCUGGCAGUGUUGCCCCCACCUGCAGGGGUGCGGUCCGCUGCCAAGUCUGGCAGUGGGCGGUGAUGCCCAAACGCAGGCCCCCCACACGGCACGGCAUGUGCUGCUGUGGCCGCGCCGUGUGCGGGUGUGCUGUAUGGCUGGUGUUGGCCCCUGGUGGCUUGGCUGCGCUGAGACACCAGGCGGAACCGUCAACGGAUGCGGCGGGCCGUGUGGUAUGUUGGGAUUGGGACGUGGGUCACUUGCGCCUGCGCUUUGUGUGUGUGUAUGCGCCCACGGCCGUGGCGGACAAGCCUGCUUUCUUUGCCGGGCUGCAUCCCCACCUGGCCACGGACAGGGUGCUUGUUGUCGGUGGGGACUGGAACUGUGUCACCGAUGCCAGUCAGGAGGCGGCCCCUAGCCCGUCACGUGCUGCAGGUGCCCCGCAACUUGCCAGCCUCCUCGCCCAGUUCAGUCUGGUGGACCCUUGGGCGAGCAAGCGUGGCGGCGCCAAGGGCUACACGCAUCCGGCCACACCCAAGCCGGCCUCUCCCGCACGCCUGGAUCGGUGGUAUGUCAGUGCCACCGCGGUGCCGUGGGUGGUGGAUGUCGCUCGCACGUAUGGGGCGCCUGGGGACCACAACGGUGUGCUGCUCACCCUGUCCUUGCCCGACCUGCCGCAUGCGCACCGGGAGCAGUGGCGCUUCCCCACGUACCUGCUGUUUCACCCCUCGCUGCGAUUGGAGCUCGAGCAGCGCUUGGAGCGCACGUUGCCGCAAAUCCCGUGGCCAGUACAGGUGACGGCGCUUGCACGCAAUGGGAGGCGGACAAGUUCUUCUUGCGGGAGGCCGCCACCAGCAUCCACCGUCGGCAUGCACGCCAGACCCGGGAUGGGCUGCAUGGCGUGGUGCUGGCCGCAGACGCGGCCGCUGCCCUGGCCGACCGGCCGGGUGCCAGCGCCGCGCAGCGUCAGGCUGCGGCCAUGGCCAACUUGGCGGUGCGGGAGGAGCGGGCAGCUGCCGCAGCGGCCAGCCACAAUGCCCGCGCUGCACUGAUGGAGGAGCAUGGGGAGCGGGGCACUCGCUGGUUCCAUCGGCAGGCUGACGAGCCAGCAGCCGGCGCGCAGGAGCCCAUCACGCACUUGAAGGUGCCGGGGCAACCGGCGCCUGUGGCGCUCACGGGGCCGGGCACGCGCAACACUGUCUCCGCCGCCGCCGCAGCCAUGUACAGCAGCACCAGCCCCACCGGCCUGUUCCGCGUGCAGCCAGUCUGUACGGCGUCGCAGCAACAGCUUCUGGCGGCCAUUGACCGCAAGGUUCCGGCGGAUCUGCAGGCCGCCGCAGAGGGGUCCGGUGACGGCGCCCUCAGUGAUGCCGAGCUGAUGGCAGCGCUGGCUGGCUCCGCCAAUGGUAAAGCGCCUGGGUCGGACGGGGUCCCGUACGAGGUGUACAAGGUUUUUUGGGCGCUGCUGGGUCCGCGCUUGUGUGCUGCUGCUGCCGCUGCCUUUGCUGCCGCUGCAGACGCCCACGAUGGUGGCGAAAUGGCGGCGGCGCUGCCCGCCUCCUGGCGGGAGGGCAUCAUCACGCUCAUCUACAAGGGCAAAAGCCUGGACCGCGCCGAGCUGGCGUCCUACCGGCCCAUCACGCUGCUCAACUGCGACUUCAAGAUGGUGUCCAAGGCCGUCAGCGCCCGCCUGCAGCCCGCCCUGGAUGCAGUUGUGGAUGAGCUGCAGACCGCGUUCAUCACCGGCCGCUGGAUUGGAGACAACGCGCUGUACCUCCAAGGCCUGAUCGAAUGGAUGCGCCUGGACGUGGGCGCGGACGGCACGCCACGGCAGGGUGGUGAGCUGUACUUCUUGGACAUUGAAAAGGAGUAUGACCGGGUGCACCGGCAGUGGCUGUAUGCGUCCGCGGAGGGUCUGGGGUUUGGGCCGCGCAUGCUGCGCUGGAUCCGCCUGAUCACUGCCAACGGCUCUGCCCGCGUGUGUGUGAACGGGAUGCUCUCUGACGCCUUCCCAGUGCUGAACGGCUUGCCGCAGGGCAGCACCGCCUCACCACCCCUGUGGGUCAUCCAGAUGCAGCCACUGACGUCCUUUCUGCGGCGGCAGGUGGAGCAAGGGGCACUGCGCACGCCCCUGUUACCCAGCGGCGAGCAGGCGCCGCCUGCUGCCCACCACGCUGACGACACGACCCUCACGGCGCGCGACCCGGCAGUGGACGGGCCGGUCCUGAUGGCGGCAGUACAGCUGUUCUGCCGCGCGUCCAACGCCCGUGUCCAUCCGGACAAGAGCAAGGCCAUGGGCCUUGGCAGGUUUGCGCACCUGACGGGCCCUUGCCCACACACGGGGGUGCCGUUUACCACUGGCGCCGUGACGCACCUGGGUGUGCCCCUGUCGUGGGACUCUGAUGCGGCUGCAGCUGACUUGUACACCCGGCGGGCUCGCGGCAUGGCGUUUGUGGCGCGUCUGUGGGCUGCCCUGUCUCUGACUCUCGUUGGCCGUGUGCACAUUGCAAAGCAGGUGCUGGCGGCAAAGCUGGCCUACCACUUCAGCUUCCUCAACCCGUCGCCUGCGCAGCUGAAGGAACUCACCGACCUGGUGGACCACUUUGCUGCGCGCUCCAUGCACGCUGAGGACGCCAGCCUGGUGUCGCAUGGGAACCCGCUCCUGCUGCCCAAGCGGGAAACGGCCUGUCUGCCGUACAAGGAUGGGGGUGUCAACCACGUCGACCUGCCUGCGUUCCUGUCUGCCCUGCAAGCUAAGACUUUCGCCCUCCUUGCCCAGCCAGGCCGGCAACCCUGGAAGACGCUCACCCGGGCGCUGCUUACCCAUGUGCGCCCGGACUCCGCCACCACGUGGGCGUGGGUGUACAGCGACGCGCCAGCGCCAGCGGGGCUGCCUGCCCGGCUGGCGGCCGCAGUCGACCACGUGCGGAGCGCGGGUGUGGAACAGCAUCCACCGCAGCCAGCCACUCAGCCGCCAGCGGCGCCGCCACAGUGGCGGGUUAGCCUGGACCAGCUGUGGGUGGCUAAUGCUGCGGGGGCUGUGUCCUACGUCCACUACACGGGGCGGCUCUUGGAGCCUGGGCCUGGCGUGCUGCCCCCGGCGGUGGAUGGGGCGUGGCAGCCUGCCUGUGUGCUGCAGCAUCGCAAGCCGCGGCACCUGUGGACCUUUGAAGAGCGGGCGGCGUACGAUGCAGCAUCACCAGGGGACCGGGCGGGGGCGUGGCCUCGGGCGCCGUACUUCCUGGCGCCGGAGGCUGGGGUGGUGGUGCACCCGGAGCACUGCCGGAUUGCGGGUGUCAGCUUAGCGGACUACACGGUGCGGGACGUGCGGCGGGCCAUCACCGCGGCUAACCCGGCCGCACCUCCGGCUCCGGCCCGCCCCGCAGCCAUGCCGUGCCCGGCGCCAGCACAGCAGGCGGGGGGUUCGGGGACCCAGCCGGCGGCACAGUCGCGGCUGGCGGAGCGGGAGGCGGAGUGGCAGCGUGCAGCGGCGCAGCUGACCACCACGGCGGCGCAGCAUUUCCACAAUAACCCGGUGGCUCUGGACCCCUGGCUCCACCGCACCUCUGCGGCAGCCGGGCUGCAGAACACGCCGGCGAGAGACCUGCAGUCAUAUGCGUCCCCGUUCCAGCACUCGGGUGAGGGGCCGCGGCGGUCCGCGCGGCUGCAGGAGCAGGCGGCGGGCGGGGCGGGACCUAGCACGGGGCCUGCCACGGCGGCGGCGGCAGCAGCGGCGGCGGUGGAGGGCGACCCUCGCAUGCCGCCCCCGGAUGCGUCCCUUCUGCGGGGUACGUGGCGGAGGCUGUGGGACAGCCACGCUAGUCGGGGGGCAAAGGUGCUGGUGUACCGGCUGCAUCAUGCUUACCUGCCUUGCGGGCUGUACAGGGCGGGCAAGGGAAUUCGUCCACGGGUGACCACGGGGUGCGGGGGGUUGGGGGCGCGCUGUCCUCACCCCGCCUGCGGGCCACCUGGCCCGCGGGCGUGGGCCAGCCUGACGCACAUCUUCCUGGAGUGUCCAGCUUAUGCGCAGGCGAGGACGUGGCUGCAGCAGCUGUGGGCCUGCGUUGCGCCCCAGGCAGCGGCGCCGCCAGUGACGGACGCGGGCUUCAUGCUGGGGGACCGCAUGGGUAUGUGGGCCUCAGGCCCGCGGGGGGCGGGCGCGCUGCUGUGGAGCACUUUGCGGGCCACCUUCUUGUACGCCGUCUGGUGUGCGUACUGGUCCCGCGAGCCUGCUAACCAGACGUCGGAGCAUGUGGUUCGGGAGGUGGUCAGCGAGCUGCGCAGGGUGAUGCAGCUGCGUUUCACUGCCGCCACGCUAACCCCUGAAACCCUGUCGGCUCUGCCCACACAGCUUCUCACCGCGCAGCUCAAGGCGGCUAAGCUGGAGCACUUUGUUGCCAUCUGGACGGCGGGUGGCGCGCUUUGUGAAGUGGAGGAGGUUCAGGGUGGGUCACCGAAGUUGAACUUGCGGCUGACGCUUGCAUCACCUGUGCAGGCCCCCUAGGUUUCCUUUUGGGCGGCGUUUCUUUCCAAGCGCUGGCGUGGUGUACUAUCGUCAUCAGCUUGUCUGGCGCCCAUGAGUACUAGCUCUGGCUGGAGUGGCAGCGCCUGGGCGGCUGUGGGCCUUCCUGCACAGCGCGUCUUGCAGCGGGCUGGAGCCCACUUAGUCAGCGCCACAUCUGGCCCGUUUAGUCUUCUGCUUGUGUCUCCUCUGCCGGUUCUCCUGGGGUGUUGCUUAAGCAACCGACUUGUGGGGGUGGGGUGGGUUUGGGCGGGGCGAGUGCGUAGCGCUGGUGUUUCCUUUUCUGGCGCGCGGUGGUGGUGGUGGUUCUUGCGGUUAGGCUGUGGUGUAGGUUGGUGCUUGGGUAAGGUCUGGCGGUGUUUUUGUGCAACCCCUCCCGGGGGGCGGGGGGGCCAGCCUCCUGCGCUGUCUGCCGGGUCGGGGUGGGGUGGGGUGGGGUGGGAUGGAUGGGGGUGGUUGGUGACGGUUUCGAGGUGUUUGCUUUCUGCUUUCUUCUCUUUUCUUCUCUUCUUGCCCUGUCAGGGUUCUGGUCUCGGGGACCAGGCUGUCUUCAGGCAGCAGGGGGGCAGCGCGUCUGCCCCUGUUCAACCUUGUAAGGAUGAUCCCUCAAAAAAAAAAAAGGAUCACCCAGCAACUGCAUAGCUGCCCAAGAUCAGCACUCACAGGGCAUCACAGCAGGGCGGGCGCCAGGCAGCCAGGCACCAGGCAACAAGGGCACGAAGACGAGCCUGACCCCAAAAAAAAAGGGCAACUGACCACCACGGCGGCGCAGCAUUUCCACAAUAACCCGGUGGCUCUGGACCCCUGGCUCCACCGCACCUCUGCGGCAGCCGGGCUGCAGAACACGCCAGCGAGAGAACUGCAGUCGUAUGCGUCCCCGUCCCGGCAGUCAGGUGAGGGGCCGCGGCGGUCCGCGCGGCUGCAGGAGCAGGCGGCGGGCGGGGCGGGGCCUAGCACGGGGCCUGCCACGGCGGCGGCGGCAGCAGCGGCGGCAGUGGAGGGCGACCCUCGCAUGCCGCCCCCUGAUGCGUCCCUUCUGCGGGGUACGCGGCGGAGGCUGUGGGACAGCCACGCCAGUCGGGGGGCAAAGGUACUUGUGUACCGGCUGCAACAUGCUUACCUGCCUUGCGGGCUGUACAGGGCGGGCAAGGGAAUUCGUCCACGGGUGACCACGGGGUGCGGGGGGUUGGGGGCGCACUGUCCUCACCCCGCCUGCGGGCCACCUGGCCCGCGGGCGUGGGCCAGCCUGACGCACAUCUUCCUGGAGUGUCCAGCUUAUGCGCAGGCGAGGACGUGGCUGCAGCAGCUGUGGGCCUGUGUUGCGCCCCAGGCAGCGGCGCCGCCAGUGACGGACGCGGGCUUCAUGCUGGGGGACCGCAUGGGUAUGUGGGCCUCAGGCCCGCGGGGGGCGGGCGCGCUGCUGUGGAGCACUUUGCGGGCCACCUUCUUGUACGCCGUCUGGUGUGCGUACUGGUCCCGCGAGCCUGCUAAGCAGAAGUCGGAGCAUGUGGUUCGGGAGGUGGUCAGCGAGCUGCGCAGGGUGAUGCGGCUGCGUUUCACUGCCGCCACGCUAACCCCUGAAACCCUGUCGGCUCUGCCCACUCAGCUUCUCACCGCACAGCUCAAGGCGGCUAAGCUGGAGCAUUUUGUUGCCAUCUGGACGGCGGGUGGCGCGCUUUGUGAAGUGGAGGAGGUUCAGGGUGGGUCACCGAAGUUGAACUUGCGGCUGACGCUUGCAUCACCUGUGCAGGCCCCCUAGAUUUCCUUCUGGGUGGCAUUUCUUUCCAGGCGCUGGCGUGGCGUAUUAUCGUCAUCAGCUUGUCUGGCGCCCAUGAGUACUAGCUCUGGCUGGAGUGGCAGCGCCUGGGCGGCUGUGGGCCUUCCUGCACAGCGCGUCUUGCAGCGGACUGGAGCCCGCUUAGUCAGCGCCACAUCUGGCCCGUUUAGUUUUCUGCUUGUGUCUCCUCUGCCGGUUCUCCUGGGGUGUUGCUUAAGCAACCGACUUGUGGGGGUGGGGUGGGUUUGGGCGGGGCGAGUGCGUAGCGCUGGUGUUUUCUUUGCUGGCGCGCGGUGGUGGUGGUUCUUGCGGUUAGGCUGUGGUGUAGGUUGGUGCUUGGGUUAGGUCUGGCGGUGUUUUUGUGCAACCCCUCCCGGGGGGCGGGGGGGCCAGCCUCCUGCUCUGUCUGCCGGGUCGGGGUGGGGUGGGGUGGGAUGGAUGGGGGUGGUUGGUGGCGGUUUUCGAGGUGUUUGCUUUCUGUUUUCUUCUCUUUUCUUCUCUUCUUGCCCUGUCAGGGUUCUGGUCUCGGGGACCAGGCUGCUUUCAGGCAGCAGGGGGGCAGCGCGUCUGCCCCUGUUCAACCUUGUAAGGAUGAUUCCUCAAAAAAAAAAACUUUGUUGCCAUCUGGUCGGCAGGUGGCGCGCUUUGUGAAGUGGAGG
rnacentral:lncRNA from 1 species